UCUCCGUUGGUGAACCAGCGGAGGGAUCAUUAUCGAGUUUAUAACUCCCAAACCCUAUGUGAACUUACCACUUGUUGCUUCGGCGCGCGCUUCGGCGCCGCCGAGGACACUUAAACUCUUUGUUUUUAUAAGCAUUUCUGAGUGGCCGAAAGGCAGAAUACAAAUGAAUCAAAACUUUCAACAACGGAUCUCUUGGUUCUG
rnacentral:misc_RNA from 1 species